ensembl:lncRNA
CAGCUUGAGUGCCAAAUGUGAUUAUUUUUCCAGGUGGAAGGAGUGUGUGUGUGUGUGUGUGUGUGAGAGAGAGAGAGAGAAUGAGAUAGGAGGUGUGUGUGAGAGAGAGAGAGAGAGAGAGAGGGAGAGAAUGAGAUAGAAGGUGUGUGUGUGUGUGAGAGAGAGAGAGAGAGAGAGGGAGAGAAUGAGAUAGAAGGUGUGUGUGUGUGUGUGAGAGAGAGAGAGAGAGAGGGAGAGAAUGAGAUAGAAGGUGUGUGUGUGUGUGUGAGAGAGAGAGAGAGAGAAUGAGAUAGGAGGUGUGUGUGUGUGUGAGAGAGAGAGAGAGAGAGAGAGAGAGAGAAUGAGAUAGAAGGUGUGUGUGUGUGUGAGAGAGAGAGAGAGAGAGAG